GUCCACGCCCUAAACGAUGUCGACUGGUUGUUGGGGAAGGCAACUUUCUUAGUAACGAAGCUAACGCGUGAAGUCGACCGCCUGGGGAGUACGGCCGCAAGGUUAAAACUCAAAGGAAUUGACGGGGACCCGCACAAGCGGUGGAUGAUGUGGAUCAAUUCGAUGCAACGCGAAAAACCUUACCUACCCUUGACAUGUGCGGAAGCCGGAUGAGAGUUCGGUGUGCCCGAAAGGGAGCCGCAACACAGGUGCUGCAUGGCUGUCGU
rnacentral:rRNA from 1 species